rnacentral:rRNA from 1 species
AUUGAACGCUGGCGGUAUGCUUAACACAUGCAAGUCGGACGGAAACGACAGGGAGCUUGCUCCUUGGGCGUCGAGUGGCGGAUGGGUGAGUAAUAUAUAGGAAUCUACCUCAUAGUUUGGGAUAACUACUCGAAAGAGUGGCUAAUACCGGAUGUGGACUACGGUUUAAAGCGGGGGAUCUUCGGACCUUGCGCUAUGAGAUGAGCCUAUACAAGAUUAGCUAGUUGGUGAGGUAAAUGCUCACCAAGGCGACGAUCUUUAGCUGGUUUGAGAGGAUGAUCAGCCACACUGGGACUGAGACACGGCCCAGACUCCUACGGGAGCAGCAGUGAGGAAUAUUGGACAAUGGGUGAGAGCCUGAUCCAGCCAUCCCGCGUGAAGGAAGACGGUCCUAUGGAUUGUAAACUUNUUUUGUAUAGGAAUAAACCUACUUACGUGUAAGUAGCUGAAGGUACUAUACGAAUAAGCAUCGGCUAAC